AGAAAAUCACCCCCUCCCACCGCACGCCCUGCCUCCCAAUCUCCACGCCCCUCACCGCGCGCCGCCACCGCCCACCCUGCCACCUUCUGGAUCGGAUCAACGCGGCGGCUCGAGCGGUUGGGCGCCUCGCCGGUGAGACGAGGAAGGCCGGAGCUAGGGAUCCGGCGACCUAGGCAGGAGCUCGCCGGAGCUGGGCGACGGCGGACGGGCGCGACGGACGGAUCUGGCGCGGCGGCGCAAAUUCCUUGCAGGUAGAGGCGGGUCUCCAUGGCUUGCAGGGAGAGCUCCAAGCUACAAUUUUAAGUAAGAUUCAAGCAACGCAAGGAAAGGAUCAUGUCAUGUCGUAGCGGUGCGCAGCCAGCGCAUAGCGUGAUUGCUGCGAACUCCACAUUUCGCCACUGACGCCAGUUGCCACCUGAUCAACCAACACUCGCCCCAUCUGGCACCGCACCGUCGAGAUGGACAUCCCCGUCCUCACAUUCGAUGCCGCAUGCAGGGCAAGAAGGGAUUCUUUGCAAUUACGGUCAUAGCCUUUGUCAUCGACAUUGGCGGGAUUUGCCCAGGCUGUCGGUGCCCGAAGGUGAAUGCUCUCGCCAAUCAACAGUAAGCCCAUCUGGUCUCGCAUCUCCGUCACCAUGGCUAGCCACUAGCACAGACCAUGAUGUUACAGCAUUCAGCGGUGUGGAUGGAGAGUCUUUUACAAUGACAUUUCUUCUAAUUUGAGCGAUGAAUGCAGACCAUGGCCGUCCGAAACAUCGUGAGACACGGCAGUGGGGCAGCUAAUGCUCAUUGACGCUAACUAAAAUAUAUGUUAAUUCUCAGUCACUGAGGUUAACAGAGUACAAUUUCUGCUCACAUUAUGUUAUCCCUUCAUGGUCUGUCAUUAAUGAAUAUUUUUCCAUUUCAUUACAUAAUCUUUGACCACGAUGCAUUCUACUAUCACAACUAGACCACUGGUGCUUCAGUUUUUUUUAUCAAGGCAAUUCAGUUAUUGUAAUGCACAACAGCACAAACGGGUGAGUUUACAUAGAGAUAUGUAAGGUUCAGCUACCCGCAUAAAAAAAUGAAAGGUUCAGCUGUGGAGCUAAAAGAUUGGAGUUGUAGGGAAUAACUAACGACGGAGGCCCUCAAGUCUAGCUCAAUAAGACAAGUUUUAGUUAACCUUAAGAAUUCUCAAAACCACGGGAGAAGAGGAGCUGCAGAUCAGGGUGUAUGUGAUAUCCCUACAAGAUUGCUUCAACAUUCAUGCAGCUACGCUUCUUGCAGCUUUUUACAGAAUGGCAGGCAAUGCAAUUACAUGUUUGUGAUGCUUUGUUCCUACCGUGUUUUCACUUUCAUCUCAGUAGAGAUUCAAAAUCAAAACAAUGUCAUUCAUGUUUUCACUGAAAUUACAAAUCACUCCCUGACCCAUUCAUGUAUGUUUGUAUCCGCAAGCUAGCAUGCUUCUGCCAGCAGAUGGGCUCCAUGGCACUACAUCUAUAUUAUAUUGGAAUGAUGUAUUGACCGAUUCGUAGAUGGUUUGUGGUAUAAUCAUAUAAAGAGUGUCGCAUCACUUUUCUAGCUCUAUGCUCUCUUGUAUACAGGGGGUCACUGGUCCUCAGUCUAAUGUACAAAAAGUUAGUUUACCAUAAUUCAAUGACAGUACAUAUUUACCGUUGUUUAUUGCAUAUGAUAUUUCUCAAUUACAUUUCUCAACGUGAUAUUUGCAGGUUAAUUAUUACCCAACCGACCUACUUUUGUUGUAUUUUUUUAUUCACUUUGUUCAGAUUUAUUUAAUGUCCAAUGCUAUAUUAUGUGCAUCUCUUAACCAAACAGACAUGAUGGUCAAUGCGCUGAACUUGCAUGAAAAUCCAUGGCUUUUCGGUCUAUCCUUUGUAGAUGCUGCUAUGUUUAGCGGCAUUCUCCUAAUGAUCUUUUCCGACAUGUCCAUGUGCAGGCUGUUUGAUGCAUGCAUUGCUAUGAGCUAAGGAUUGACAAAAUACCAGUAGCAUACUGCAACGUCUCAUUAGCUCUUCCCAAAUUAUCCUAUAGACUUAAAUGAUUGCUAGCGUUGUAUCAUUAUCAGUCUGAAGAUUGUUUGUUUUGUUUUGUUUUGUUUUGUUUACUCAAGAUGAAUAGAGUUAAUGUUGUUGACCGAUUGAUUUUCCUCCUGGUAAAUCCGUUGAUUUUCCUCCUGGUAAAUCCGUGACUAAUUCUAUCACAAUCUUUUCUUCAUUAUUUUUAUCUAAUGUUCCCUUGCAGUGAAAUUCUUAGUAUCUCCGGUGUGUCUGAUGUCGACAAAUCUGUCUCCUUUAAAGGAUGCCAUUGGUGCUUGAAGUUAAAUGGAACAAGCUCAAUCUUAACUUUUUCAUAUGUGGGGAACAUAUCUUCUAUUAAGGACGUGUGCUCAAUAAAUCACUCCAUGGAACAAGAAAGUACAGGUUAGAUCUUGUGCCUUUCGUUCUGAUAUUAAUUGUCCCCUUUUCUUUUCGGGCUGAUAAUAUAGCUAAUAUGUUCUACCUUGAACUAAAUACUGUUUCAGAUCUUACGUUCUUCAAUAAAUUAUCAACAUGGUAAUGACAUGUUACUUAUAUACUACAGCUUCGAAAACAUGUUCUUUUAAGUACAUCUGGUAUAUUUUAAAUCAUUAGGAAAUGAAUUGAUCCAAAAUGCAUAGUGCAUCUUUUUAGUUCGGUAAUUUUGGAUGUUAGGUGGCAUAAGUAGUGCCCCUGUUAGUUUGUCGGGUUAAGUGAAAUUUUUUGUGAUGCUUCCCAUAGUUCUUUGCCUUCAUGAAACAACAUAUGGGUGAGGCAAUAUAUUUUCCUGUCUAUAUAUCGGCGUCUCUAUUUUUAAAAAUUGGCAUUGAGGAUCCCUUUUACAUGUUUUUUCUACACCCUGCUGGGAGCUGAAUUGCCUUUCCUAUAUAUGAACCGAUGGCAAGACAUUCAAAGCACGGUUCCUCGCAUCUGAGCGACAGUUUUUAUGCCCUAUGCCCUUGUCCGUCUCACAUAUCUACCUUAUAUCUACAGGAAAAUAUAUCUUUUCUUUCUAGUGCUAAGGCAAUCUAUCUACACGUAAUCUAUGGAUUCUUUGUAGUUCAAAUGGACUAAUCUAUAUAUUAUUUAUGCAGUACUGUUUAUUCAGUUAAAGGUGCCCUUUUCUAGAGAGUGAAAACGGGUGUAGGGCAGGCUAUAUGGGUAGACCACCAAAAUAGUUAUGUAGUUGUAGUUGGCUAGCAAUAGCUUAUAUCCCUAAUUAUAUUCGAUUUUCUGGUUGUACGCAAUUUGCUUUCCUCGUAGGCAGAAGUAAUGGCUGAGCUAAGUUAACGGCUACAUGUUCCAGAACAAAUUGGAUCUGCAUUGUGUAGAUCAAUUGAUGAUAUUUAUCCUACUUUUAGAGAAAGGACUAAGCCCAACUUUUAAUACAAAGCUUUGAAAUAUUCUGAUAUUGCUGGGCCAGAAGCGAACAAGUGGCAUGCAUGGUGAACUGUCGCAAACUUCAGAAGAUGGUAAGGUUGCAUAUGGCUGGAGCAACCUUCUCUUCAAAUUCUCGGAAUUAUUUACCCUUUUUCUCUGUAGUUUCUAUCUUCAAAUUCUUUUAAUUAUUCUUCACCCAUUUUUUCCCAUGCAGUUUCCAUCCUUUUGAAAGCUCCUUUUGUUCUGUAUGAGCCUAACCUGAAAAUAUAUACGGUUAUAUAUUGUCAGUAUUUUCCUUUUCCAUGCCUCAUGGUUAUUCGCCUCUGUUAGCUAGAUGAAUGUGCUUCAGUUAUAGGAAUUGCAUGCCUUCUACGAUUAUAUUGUUGUUAUUGGCUUGCGAAACAUGCAUAAGACUGUACCUAUGGAUAAAAAUUACCCUACAAACUCCAACAUUGAAAAUACAGACUGGCUGGCAUGAAAGUUUGAGAAAUGCAGCAAGUGAAUGACUUUGAUUUGCACAUUCGAGUGCAUGAUAUAGUAGAGCUGGAGGUGUACCAGCUGUAUGAGGGAUAUCAGGUGUCCUCUACUGCAUGUGAGGCUGUUUAUUUCCUUCAUGUCAUUCAACUUUGUCACCGGGGCCUCUUACGCCUACUCACUAGUUUUAGGAAUUCAAGUCUUCAACAUGAAAAAAAUCGGAUGCACACUGUGGACAAUCAUGGAGAGCUGAUAUAGAUGACGGUUCAUAACAGUUACUAUCAUUAUCCUAUUUUGCCAUAUUUUACAUUCUCAUAUAAUUUUGUGUGUGAGCCGGUAAAGAAAAUAGACCAAGAUCUACCAGUCACUCAUACAGAUGCUUCGCUAUUUGAGAACCACUCGACCAAGCAUUCAGCUUAAUUUUGUUCUUAGAUCUAUUUGUCAUUUGAUGAGUGACUUGGAAGUCUUUAGGCUAUCCAUGGCAAGCAAACCGGCACAUAUAUCAUGUUGAUUCCAUGGUAUUUUUAUAACAGCAUUUAGGUGGACCUCUAACUUAUACUCCCUCCGUUCCUAAAUACUUGUCUUUCUAGGCAUUUCAACAAGUGACUACAUACGGAGCAAAGUGAGUGAAUGUACACUCUAAAAUAUGUCUACAUACAUCCGUAUGUAGUAGUCAUUUGAAAUGUCUAGAAAGACAAAUAUUUAGGAACGGAGGGAGUACUUUGUAAUAUGCUCAACAUGUACAUGCAUGAAUAUGUAUUUGGGUGGCCGUCUUGAUGUCCCUGGGGCCUUGAGAUCCUUGCCGCCCCCACAUUGAAAGACAGGCACAUCUGCUCCACGCCUCCACCAUGGUCACACGUUCUUCCGUGUAGUACUACUUUCAAUGUCUUGAGACGCUGAUGUCCAUCGCAAACGACGACUGCAGCAGCAGCUCCGUGUUAGAUACAUCCGUAUCUAAAUAAAUUUAAGACAAGAAUUUUGAGACGGAGGGAGUACUAGGAUCUUAUUUACACCAACUCUACACCAUCCUAUUGGCAUGUUUAUAAACAAAGGAAACUGCUUUGUUCAUAACUUUACACCAACCUAUUGGCAUGUAUAUUAGCAGCAAUGUAACUUAAAUGAACAACUCUAGCAUGUUAAUUAAAAUUCCUUGCACAAUACUUCUCAGUUUCUCAGGUUUAAGAACAAUCUAUAGCACAUUUAAUCUCUUCAGUUAGUAGUCGUGCUUUCCUAUUUAGAUAUUUAUUUUGUGAUCUUGACCUUUACUCCACAUUAAUAUAACCUGAUUUUAAAAUAUAUUUUUAAAGUUGAUUAUAAAUUAUUUUGUUGGAUAGUAUAUCAUCUUCAUUCCAUUGGAUUACAUUACCAUCCCCCGGUUACAUGAAUAAGCAAAUGUAGCUAUGUCUAAGAUUCCAGAUUCGGAUUGCAAGGUCCUUUUAGAAUCUGCAAAGUAAUUUAUUUUAUCACUUUGUUCUAUCAACUUUGGUAAUCGCUUACUAUUCAUCUGCAGGUGAACUUGCCUAUUUUUAGAAAAGUCACUUUAUUGUGAAGUUUGAUUAUUCUUCUAUUUGGGGUUGGCCUAAUAGUCGGUUGUCCAUAUAAUGUCACAUGUACAUUAUUUGUCGGAUAUUAUAUGGUUCCAGUUCUCACAAACUUCUCAAUAGCUUGCAGAUGAUUGAUUGAAUGCUUUUUUCUGAUUAUUGCACAUCAUCAGUUACGUAUCAAAAGGCUGAAGUGCCCUUUGAUCAAUCUAACGUAAAUAAGAUUUGUAUGAGCUGCAUGUAAUAGUAACAUAGAAAUUAUGACCGAUGGGAGACAAAAAGAGGGCUGUUGUAAUGGUAAAGAAGUCAAAAUGACCGUUGUUGAACCUAGCAUGUCUACAAAUAAGCAUAUGGCGAUGGACAUAACUUUCU